rnacentral:rRNA from 1 species
UACGUAGGGGGCAAGCGUUGUCCGGAAUGACUGGGCGUAAAGCGCGCGCAGGCGGUCUUUUAAGUCUGAGGUGAAAGGCUGGGGCUCAACCCUGGCAUCGCCUUGUAAACGCUAAGACUUGAGGACUGGAGAGGCAAGGGGAAUUCCACGUGUAGCGGUGAAAUGCGUACAGAUGUGGAGGAAUACCAGUGGCGAAGGCGCCUUGCUGGACAGUGCCUGACGCUGAGGCGCGAAGGCGUGGGGAGCAAACAGGAUUAGAUACCCUGGUAGUCCACGCGGUAAACGAUGAGUGCUAGGUGUCGGAGGGUACCACCUCCGGUGCCGGAGGAAACCCAAUAAGCACUCCGCCUGGGGAGUACGGUCGCAAGACUGAAACUCAAAGGAAUUGACGGGGGCCCGCACAAGCAGUGGAGCAUGUGGUUUAACUCGAAGCAACGCGAAGAACCUUACCAGGACUUGACAUCCCCCUGACGGGAGUAGAGAUAUUCCGUCCCUUCGGGGCAGGGGAGACAGGUGGUGCAUGGUUGUCGUCAGCUCGUGUCGUGAGAUGUUGGGCUAAGUCCCGCAACGAGCGCAACCCUUGAUCAGUGUUACCAGCACGUAAAGGUGGGGACUCACUGAUGACUGCCGGUGAUAAACCGGAGGAAGGCGGGGAUGACGUCAAAUCAUCAUGCCCCUUAUGUCCUGGGCCACACACGUGCUACAAUGGGCGGUACAACGGGAAGCAAGAGAGCGAUCUGGAGCGAAACCCUAAAAGCCGUUCGUAGUUCGGAUUGCAGGCUGCAACCCGCCUGCAUGAAGCCGGAAUUGCUAGUAAUCGCGGAUCAGCAUGCCGCGGUGAAUCCGUUCCCGGGCCU